rnacentral:rRNA from 1 species
CACGUAGGGCGCGAGCGUUGUCCGGAAUUAUUGGGCGUAAAGAGCUCGUAGGCGGCCUGUUGCGUCGGCUGUGAAAUCCCGAGGCUCAACCUCGGGUCUGCAGUCGAUACGAGCAAACUAGAGUGUUGCAGGGGAGACUGGAAUUCCUGGUGUAGCGGUGAAAUGCGCAGAUAUCAGGAGGAACACCGGUGGCGAAGGCGGGUCUCUGGGCAACAACUGACGCUGAGGAGCGAAAGCGUGGGGAGCGAACAGG